CGCGAUGCAAAGCUUUCGAUUCUUACGAAUUCCUUUAUUUCCCCCCAAUGCUCUAUUCUUCCUCUCUCAAACUCCUCAUCUUCUUCCUGUGAAACCCGUUUCCAGAAUUCCCACCAAGAAUUUCAGUUCCCAAAUGGGGUCAUCGCCAUCUUCUUCCUCGUCUAAGCUCUUGUUCCGCCAAUUGUUCGAGAAGGAAUCUUCUACUUAUACUUACCUUCUUGCUGAUAUUUCCCACCCUGAUAAACCAGCGCUUUUGAUUGACCCGGUUGACAAGACUGUAGAUAGGGAUCUAAAUCUUAUAGGAGAAUUGGGACUGAAG
rnacentral:misc_RNA from 1 species